GACGGAGGGGGCUAGCGUUGUUCGGAAUCACUGGGCGUAAAGAGCGUGUAGGUGGUUUAAUAAGUUGGAAGUGAAAGCCCGGAGCUCAACUCCGGAAUUGCCAUUGAAACUGUUUGGCUCGAGUACGAGAGAGGUGAGUGGAAUUCCCAGUGUAGAGGUGAAAUUCGUAGAUAUUGGGAAGAACACCGGUGGCGAAGGCGGCUCACUGGCUCGUAACUGACGCUCAUGCACGACAGCGUGGGGAUCAAACAGG
rnacentral:rRNA from 1 species